rnacentral:misc_RNA from 1 species
UUAUCUAUAUUAUUAUAUUAUAAAAAAAAAAAAAAAAAAAAAAAAAAAAAAAAAAAAAAAAAAAAAAAAAAAACUCUGUAAAUCAAUAAAAAACAUAAAUGUAUAAUCAAAAAAGAUCAAUACACUCAUAAAAAAAAAACAAAAAAAAAAAAAAAAAAAAAAAAAAAAAAAAAAAAAAAAAAAAAAAAAAAAAAAAAAAAAACCAUUAAAAAAAAAAAAAAAAAAAAAAAAAAAAAAAAAAAAAAAAAAAAAAAAAAAAAAAAAA